UCUCAAAUUUGUCCUCAGUCUUGGGUAUUAUUAUGAGUACAAAUUGUAUGAUGUGUCUUAUAAAUAUCAGUCUUUCUUAAAUUGUGGAAAUACAACCAAAACCAUUUUUGUAAAUUACACCCUACUUGAAAACGAGUUGUGUGGAUCUAUUAUAAUUUAUAGGCCAGGUCAUGGAGAUUGGAGAAUACCAACUACUCCUACCUUCCAAUCAAUCACUCACUGAUUGAAUUUGUGUUAUCCAUAUAACACACAUGUGAGUGAUUUUAUUGGUCACUGGCACAUGUGACAAGAACACAAUUAUAUUUUUUUUAAGUUUUAAUUUAUAGGAUAGAGUUUAACUAUUGAUAUCGUUAAUUAUAUACGUAAAAUUUAUAAAAUAUUAAUAUUUUAAAUAUACUAUCUCUGUUUUUUUAGUUGCAACGAUUUGACAUAAAGUAGAUAGGGAAAAUGUCUAAUCGUUGGAACUAAAAAAACAAAGAUAGUAUAUACUGAUACGAAACUAACAAGAUUUCACACAAUACACUUAAAAUCGAAUAUGUCAUAUAUCUACAUAGUCAAUGUAGUACAAAUAAGAAAAUAUAAUAGAGGAAGUAUAAGCUAACACCCUACUAUAUGUCUAUAUAAACUAAGGUCAUCAACUCAUCAUAGUAACACCAACUCAUAAUUCGAUAAGAAGAGAGAAAAAAGGAAAAAAAUAUGGAUGAGCCACCUUCAUAUCAACAAAUCUCAUACACUGAGCAUGUGAAGAAACGCCAUGAAGAGAAAGGAUGCAUUUAUGCAGCCUGUUUUGCGUUGUGUUGCUGCUUUUGUUGCUAUGAAACCUGCGAAUGCUGCUUCGAUAUCCUCUGCUGUUGCUGUUAAGCAGAAGCUUAAGUUCGAGAAAGAAACUGUUUGUACUGUAAUAUGUAUAGUACUAUUCUAUGUAAAACAGAUUUUAUCUUAAUUAAGAUCGAUUUGUAUCAUAAUUAUGUUUCAAGUUUUCA